UACGUAGGGUGCAAGCGUUAAUCGGAAUUACUGGGCGUAAAGCGUGCGCAGGCGGUUUUGUAAGUCUGACGUGAAAUCCCCGGGCUCAACCUGGGAAUUGCGUUGGAGACUGCAAGGCUGGAGUCUGGCAGAGGGGGGUAGAAUUCCACGUGUAGCAGUGAAGUGCGUAGAGAUGUGGAGGAACACCGAUGGCGAAGGCAGCCCCCUGGGCCAAUACUGACGCUCAUGCACGAAAGCGUGGGGAGCAAACAGGAUUACG
rnacentral:rRNA from 1 species